UACAGAGGGUGCAAGCGUUAAUCGGAAUUACUGGGCGUAAAGCGUGCGUAGACGGUUACAUAAGUCAGAUGUGAAAGCCCCGGGCUCAACCUGGGAAUUGCAUUUGAGACUGUGUAGCUAGGGUGCGGAAGAGGGAAGCGGAAUUUCCGGUGUAGCGGUGAAAUGCGUAGAUAUCGGAAGGAACACCAGUGGCGAAAGCGGCUUCCUGGACCAAUACUGACGCUCAUGUGCGAAAGCGUGGGGAGCAAACAGG
rnacentral:rRNA from 1 species